rnacentral:rRNA from 1 species
UACGAAGGGGGCUAGCGUUGCUCGGAAUUACUGGGCGUAAAGCGUGCGCAGGCGGUUGUGUAAGACAGAUGUGAAAUCCCCGGGCUCAACCUGGGAACUGCAUUUGUGACUGCACAGCUGGAGUGCGGCAGAGGGGGAUGGAAUUCCGCGUGUAGCAGUGAAAUGCGUAGAUAUGCGGAGGAACACCGAUGGCGAAGGCAAUCCCCUGGGCCUGCACUGACGCUCAUGCACGAAAGCGUGGGGAGCAAACAGG